CCUUCCGUGAGGGGGAGGGAGUCUGAGCUGGGCGCUGGGGGCCCCCCCAGCGGGGCCGCCCUCGGUGCUGGUGAGGACUCUGGAAGGUGAGCACGGAGCAGGUCCUGAGACCCUCCCCCCCCAACUCCUGGGAACGUGAUGGAGGCAGAGGGCCGUGUGUGGGGAGGACCCAGGGACCAGGGUGCCCGGGGCGGGCAGAGGCCAGAGCCCGUUGGCGUCCUGGGUACUUGGUGACCCUUGAGGCCCGGCCCCGCCUGCACUUCCUGCUGGGAACAAGCACGUCCAGUCAGGCCACGCUGCAGGGUGGCCGCUCACUCGAGUCUGUCACCAGCCACUGGCAUCCCUCGGGAGAACCCCCACCGCCCGGGCCGUAGGAGCGGCCUGCCCUCGGCUCCAGGAAAAAAGGAGACGGACGGACAAGCAGGAGGCUGUGCUGUACCCUGUUCUGUCCACGGCACCCACACAGAACAGCAUCCCUCCUCGGGAAAACAGGCGUGGAAUCCACGUUACCGCUCGGUUAAUGUGUGUUAAGCGGAGCACAGGCGCUAGACGAUGAGCCACGGCCACCGACCGGCCACAGAGGAAGUGAAGGAGGACGUCCGCACUCACAGGUGCCGGGGGAAGUGCCAGGACACGGGGAGACCGUUGACCACAAGGCUUCCGGGAGUCAGCUGCUAAGAGAGACGUGGCAGGCUCAGGGGCCUUUGUGGGCGCGGAGGAAAGGACGCACGGAGGAGUGCCCCCAGCUCCACGCGGCACAAAAGCAGACCCCACGGAUGGUCUCCGGUGACCAGGGGCGUCCCCGGAGCCGGACAGGUGGGGCCGAUGGGAAUUCGGUGCAGGCCACUGCCGGGGCCCCUGUGGGCCGUGGGCGCCUGACGGUGGGACACCGUUUGCCGAGGUGGCCCAGCUGCCCGUGGUGGAGGGCGCUGUCCCGGCCACCGUGCCAUCGGCCCGGCUGCGCCCACUCUGCUCCAUCACCAAGCAAGUGUACCGUGUGCCCUUCAGGAACCCGCUGCCGCCCCUGGGGCCUCCUCCACGGCCAGCGGGGGAGGGGGUCCAGCCGGAAGGGGCCCAGUUCACAGAUGGCCCUAUGUGGUCUCAGACUGUGCCAGAGUCACUGAGGGUCCCCACCUGUUGCCUGCUCCCCAGAGCCCCACGGGGCCUGUUACCCGUCCACGGACCCAGCGCCCUGUCUCGGGUCUGCUCCCGCCAUGGCCCGCACAGCCCCCAGGGUCUGCGGGCCCCUAAAAGCCUCCAGCAACACCACACGAGAUCCUCGAAAGCCCAUUUAAAGCUCAUGGUAAUUACUUCCAGGGGGUUUAUAGCCCCAGAGAGUCUCGUAGCCACGCCCCGCCGUCCAGGAAGGCGAUAUUUCACCAUCAAGGACGCGACCCUGGGUAUUUACAGACGGUAAUGAGACUGUCCACUGCUCGAUGUUGCCAUAAAUAAGCAGGAAAGUGCUGAGUUUCACGCAAUUCUCCCUGAUUGCCUGGAAGGCGUCAUUAUUUUAAUAAAAAAACUAAUCAGCCAGC